rnacentral:rRNA from 1 species
GUUCCUGCCCUCCUCUCGGAGAUUUUGUUUUGGCCCCUUGUUAACAGUCCCGUACUCCUACGGGAGGCAGCAGUAGGGAAUAUUGGUCAAUGGGCGAGAGCCUGAACCAGCCAUGCCGCGUGCAGGAAGACGGCCUUCUGGGUUGUAAACUGCUUUUAUCAGGGAAGAGACGGUCCUGCGGGACAAAUUGCCGGUACCUGAGGAAUAAGCACCGGCUAACUACGUGCCAGCAGCCGCGGUAAUAC